AACGCGAAGAACCUUACCUGGGCUUGACAUGCACUGGAAACCGGCAGAGAUGUCGGCCCCCUUGUGGCCGGUGUACAGGUGGUGCAUGGCUGUCGUCAGCUCGUGUCGUGAGAUGUUGGGUUAAGUCCCGCAACGAGCGCAACCCUUAUCCUGUGUUGCCAGCACGUCCUUCGGGAUGGUGGGGACUCGCGGGAGACUGCCGGGGUCAACUCGGAGGAAGGUGGGGAUGACGUCAAGUCAUCAUGCCCCUUAUGUCCAGGGCUUCACACAUGCUACAAUGGCUGGUACAGAGGGCUGCGAUACCGCGAGGUGGAGCGAAUCCCUUAAAGCCGGUCUCAGUUCGGAUCGCAGUCUGCAACUCGACUGCGUGAAGUCGGAGUCGCUAGUAAUCGCAGAUCAGCAACGCUGCGGUGAAUACGUUCCCGGGCCUUGUACACACCG
rnacentral:rRNA from 1 species